rnacentral:rRNA from 1 species
GAUGAACGCUGGCGGCGUGCUUAACACAUGCAAGUCGAACGAGAGAAGAUUGGUGCUUGCACUGAUCCGAUCGAGUGGCGGACGGGUGAGUAACGCGUGGGUAACCUGCCUCAUACAGGGGAAUAACAGUUGGAAACGGCUGCUAAAACCGCAUAAGCGCACAGUAUCGCAUGAUACAGUGUGAAAAACUCCGGUGGUGAUGAGAUGGACCCGCGUCUGAUUAGCUAGUUGGUGAGGUAACGGCCCACCAAGGCAACGAUCAGUAGCCGGCCUGGGGGGGUGAGAAGCCACAUCGGGACUGGGACACGGCCGGAGCUCCUACGAGAGGCAGCCUUGCGGAAUAUUGCACAAUGGGCGAAACCUUGAUGCAGCGACGCCGCGUGAGUGAUGAAGUAUUUCGGUAUGUAAAGCUCUACCAGCAGGGGAGUUAAUGGCGGUACGUGACUAAGAAGCACCGGCUAAAUACGUGCAAGCCGCCGCAGUAA